GACGAACGCUGGCGGCGUGCUUAACACAUGCAAGUCGAACGGAAAGGCCCUGCUUUUGUGUGGUGCACGAGUGGCGAACGGGUGAGUAACACGUGAGUAACCUGCCCUAGACUUUGGGAUAACCUCAGGAAACUGGGGCUAAUACCGGAUAGGAGACACAGCUGCAUGGCGGGGGUUGGAAAGUUUCGGCGGUUGGGGAUGGACUCGCGGCUUAUCAGCUUGUUGGUGGGGUAGUGGCUUACCAAGGCUUCGACGGGUAGCCGGCCUGAGAGGGUGACCGGCCACAUUGGGACUGAGAUACGGCCCAGACUCCUACGGGAGGCAGCAGUGGGGAAUAUUGCACAAUGGGCGGAAGCCUGAUGCAGCAACGCCGCGUGCGGGAUGACGGCCUUCGGGUUGUAAACCGCUUUCGCCUGUGACGAAGCGUGAGUGACGGUAAUGGGUAAAGAAGCACCGGCUAACUACGUG
rnacentral:rRNA from 1 species